CGAUAUGAUGAUAUGUUAUGUCAAAAAAAAUUCUUGUAUUCUAAUAACUGGUUUCUUUUCUGUAGAACCGGGAACCAGUUGUAACUUAUUAGUUAGUUUCGUAUUUUAUUUCUAUAUUUCCAUUAAUCGCAUCUCUAAAGUAUUAUCAUAUUCGAAGAUAGACAUUUUAAUUGAGAAAAUGUAUUAUUUACGACAAUAAUUUGUAUUAAAGCAGAAUUCUUCAUUAGAUAAAAUUUGUUCGAAACUUCCGGACACUGUCACCGCCUUUUUUAAAUUGGGAAAACAACGACACUAGACAUGCUAGAAGAGCAGUUCUACAGAAUAGCGUUCAGUCUAUGAGGUCCAGUAUUUGGUGUCACAGGGUGGUCAGAGCCCUUCAAACUGUAUAGGAAGGAUGAUGAAAAAGUGUGGCACUAAUCAGUUAUGGGCCAAAUACAGUCUGAAGGGGCAAAAGGGAAAAGAGGCAUUCACAGGUCACCCUUUGUGCAGGAUAAUCCUGAAAAGUUGUGCAAGAGUGUUCCCAAAAUCCAAGGUUUCCGAUAUGGAUGGACUCUUAAUUGACUUCCUAAAACAGGCCCCACACAAGCCAGGAGGACCAAAAUAUAAGAAACCUGUAAGAAAAGGACAGACGAUUGCGCAAGAAGAAUUGGAGUCUGAACAAAUAAAUCUGUUUAAAAGUA